UUACCGGCUUGACAUGACUUAACCCCUUCGGCACAGGUGGUGCAUGGUUGUCGUCAGCUCGUGUCGUGAGAUGUUGGGUUAAGUCCCGCAACGAGCGCAACCCUAUCUUAGUAGCCAGCAUCUGGGACUCUAGGAGACUGCCAGGGAUAACUGGAGGAAGGCGGGGAUGACGUCAAAUCAUCAUGCCCCUUAUGUCGGGCUACACACGUGCUACAAUGGACUACAAGGGGCACCGCGAGGUGAGCAAUCCCAAAAGUAUCCCAGUUCGGAUUGUAGUCUGCAACUCGACUACAUGAAGCUGGAAUCGCUAGUAAUCGCGAUCAGAUGCGCGGUGAAUACGUUCCCGGGUCUUGUACACACCGCCCGUCACACCAUGGGAGUCGGUAGCCGAA
rnacentral:rRNA from 1 species